CAUUAGGAAGCUUGCAACAGCACUAGCCUUUUAAGCUAGAAAAGGAUUUCCCCCUCCCCCAAUGC
rnacentral:tRNA from 1 species